UCCGACGGAAUGUACCAGUAUCGUAUCGCCCCGCACGGAUACAACCCGAUACUGACUGAUAUGGAGUAGAAAAUGCAUGUGAAAAAUAUGAGCCUUGCGCAAAUAUUUUUGGAAUGUUGUCUUUAAAUUUAAAUAUAUUUAUGCUUCCGAAAAAAAUAAAAAAAUAGAAACGAACCGCUUGUAACUCAGUUUUAACUUUCAAAAAAAAAAAAUACACCACUACCACCGUAUCCUAUUCGUAGGCAUAUGUGAACCAUGGUCGGGGAACGAGUCGAAUGACAAGUGCUCCAUAACCUUAACGUAACGUUUAGUCACGUGACCAUGGUAUUGGUAGAUUGGUCUGUGCUGGUGACUUUCCCUCUGAAACAUAAAAAAAGCUUCUGCAGAAGAAGUAGAAUGUACACAAAACCUUCACUUAUUGGUAAUUACAAAUAAAGAUAGAUCCGAUUCAACAUUAACGUGAUGGUCAAAUUCAUCUCCUUCUUAUGCAUUCUUCUUCUUGCCUACAUUAAUCUUACUCUUGCUUCUGAGUCUGAUCACAAGUAUCAGGUAGAUGCUCCUGUUACUCUUUGGGUAAACAAAGUUGGACCUUAUAAUAAUCCACAAGAAACAUACAACUACUAGAGUCUUCCCUUUUGCCAGCCACAAAAUGGACUUGGAGAGGUUCUUGGUGGAAAUGAACUCAUUGAUGGUCAGAUUGAAAUAAAAUAUCAGAAAAAUGUGGAUAGGAUUUCCAUCCGUGACAUUGCUUUAGACGCACCGAACCGAAGUUGAAGGAGUUUAAGGAUGCAAUUGAGAGUUCAUAUUGGUUUGAAUUCUCAAAAUUUGAAGAUCUGAACACGGCGUUUCUUAUUUUUGAGUUGCUUUCUUUCUUUGGCUAAUUGUUUUACUCUUCUUUCUUUUUCAUGUGUUGAGGCAUCUCCAGAUGAUCUGCCUUUAUGAGGUUUUGUUGGUAACUACAUUCUGAUAAAAACAGUGAUAACAGCAGACAUCUGCUUUAUAAACACAAGUACAGUGUUACUAUAUACAACAGAGAGCAGGUUUGUGGCAUUUAAAAUCCAAUGACCGGUAAUUGGAGAUUUAUUUUGGUUUCCUAGUGUUUCUAUUUUUUCUAACUGACUUUCUGUACUUGCGGAGUAUUCAUGUUAAUCUCACUCAAAAAGCCCUAAACCGUUGGAAGAGGGAAUUGUAAUAGACAUGACGUAUUCAGUGAAGUGGAUCCCAACAGAUAUCACUUUUGCACGGCAAUUUGAUGUUUACUUGUACUAUCCUUUCUUCGAGCAUCAUGUUAAUGGUCGAUGCAAGAUUCAGGGACCUUCUUAAUCACUCUAAGGCCUAAGCUACUUUUGAAGAAGAAGUAGCUCUUUGGCAUACUGGAUGAUGUUGUCAAGAAGCAGCUGCCGCACAAUGUCACUUGGGGUUUGAGUUUGUUGUAUGCCAUGGACCACAAAUAGAUAAGGCAUUGACGUCUACACAAGGUGAGUUGGCACAUGCUUUGUGGUUCCUAGCUUAUGUAGUGUUUGAGAGCUUUUUAGCUUUUGGGUGACAUCCUAGAGUUGAAUAAGAAAUCUGUUGAACUUUCUGAUGAUAUCAGUCGAUUCGAGCAUGAAGAGCUACUUGACGCUUCUCAAAAAGGUCCAAAUGGUAGUGGAAAACCUGGCCGGAGCGUGAAUGAAAGGAAUGGUUCAAGUUGUGAUGUAUUUUAUGCUCUCAACUGCCAUAUAUACCUGCUUGGGAACUUUAACGGACCAAAUAAUUUACCCGCUCUCUUAUGAGGAAGCAGUGCUGAAGGUAGUGCAAAUGUCAGAAAGAGGUGAAAAGUCUGAAGAUGGUAGAAAUGAGUCUGAAUGGAUGUUCUCGAAAGGGAGGAGGGAGGUUGGGAUGCGGACCUUGAUUGGAAAGAUAUACUAGACUGGGCAUGGCUCGCUUGUUCUUCCACAGCCCUAAAUUUGGCAUGGGCACAAAAUUCACAAGUAUUGAUGUUGAACAACACCUAUAUACAGGGUAGCAACUAGCAUGGGCAUUACCGUUGUUACCUCUUCACGAGUGCACAAAGUAUAUCUUAAAGAGCUGUGAAAAACACAAAACAAGAAAAGAGAUUGUUUCUGUAAAACAAUUCUUUUUUUUCUUUUUCUUUUUAGUCUUGAGUUUUUUUUAUUUUCACAAGAAAAUCCCAUACUUGUUCUAGGUCGCAAGUUAUGGUAGAAGUACAUUUCCCUUGUUAAACAAUUUCUCAUAUUGAGAUGAUUAAUCAGUUGAGAUAAUUGAUCAUUUUUAGUCUUGAGAUA